AUGCCUUGCUCCUCUCCUCCCCUGUGCACACUUAGUGAGCCAUCUCCUCCCCUGCGCACACUCAGUGAGCUGUCUCCUCCCCUGUGCACACUCAGUGAGCCGUCUCCUCCCCUGUGCACACUCAGUGAGCCGUCUCCUCCUCUGUGCACACUCAGUGAGCCGUCUCCUCCCCUGUGCACACUCAGAGAGCCGUCUCCUCCCCUGUGCACACUCAGAGAGCCGUCUCCUCCCCUGUGCACACUCAGUGAGCCGUCUCCUCCCCUGUGCACACUCAGUGAGCCGUCUCCUCCCCUGUGCACACUCAGUGAGCCGUCUCCUUCCCUGUGCACACUCAGUGAGCUGUCUCCCCUGUGCACACUCAGUGAGCUGUCUCCUCCCCUGUGCACACUCAGUGAGCCGUCUUCUCCUCUGUGCACACUCAGUGAGCCGUCUCCUCCUCUGUGCACACUCAGUGAGCUGACUCCUCCCCUGUGCACACUCAGUGAGCCGUCUCCUCCCCUGUGCACACUCAGGGAGCUGUCUCCCCUGUGCACACUCAGGGAGCUGACUCCUCCCCUGUGCACACUCAGGGAGCUGUCUCCUCCCCUGUGCACACUCAGUGAGCCAUUUCCUCCCCUGUGCACACUCAGUGAGCUGUCUCCUCUGUGCACACUCAGUGAGCCAUCUCCUCUGUGCACACUCAGUGAGCUGUCUCCUCCCCUGUGCACACUCAGCUGUCUCCUACCCUGUGCACACUCAGUGAGCUGUCUCCUCCUCUGUGCACACUCAGUGAGCCGUCUCCUUCCCUGUGCACACUCAGUGAGCUGUCUCCCCUGUGCACACUCGGUGAGCUGUCUCCUCCCCUGUGCACACUCAGCGAGAAGCCUUCUUACCCUGUGCACACUCAGUGAGCUGUCUCCUCCUCUGUGCACACUCAGUGAGCUGUCUCCUCCUCUGUGCACACUCAGUGAGCCGUCUCCUUCCCUGUGCACACUCAGUGAGCUGUCUCCCCUGUGCACACUCAGUGAGCUGUCUCCUCCCCUGUGCACACUCAGUGAGCCGUCUUCUCCUCUGUGCACACUCAGUGAGCCGUCUCCUCCUCUGUGCACACUCAGUGAGCUGACUCCUCCCCUGUGCACACUCAGUGAGCCGUCUCCUCCCCUGUGCACACUCAGUGAGCUGUCUCCCCUGUGCACACUCAGGGAGCUGUCUCCUCCUCUGUGCACACUCAGUGAGCCGUCUCCCCCUCUGUGUACACUCAGUGAGCUGACUCCUCCCCUGUGCACACUCAGGGAGCUGUCUCCUCCCCUGUGCACACUCAGUGAGCCAUUUCCUCCCCUGUGCACACUCAGUGAGCUGUCUCCUCUGUGCACACUCAGUGAGCCAUCUCCUCUGUGCACACUCAGUGAGCCGUCUCCCCCUCUGUGUACACUCAGUGAGCUGUCUCCUCCUCUGUGCACACUCAGCGAGCUGACUCCUCCCCUGUGCACACUCAGUGAGCUGUCUCCUCCUCUGUGCACACUCAGGGAGCUGUCUCCUCCUCUGUGCACACUCAGUGAGCUGUCUCCUCCUCUGUGCACACUCAGUGAGCUGUCUCUUCGGUGCACACUCAGUGAGGUGACUCCUCUGUGCACACUUAGUGAGCUGUCUCCUCCCCUGUGCACACUCAGCUGUCUCCUACCCUGUGCACACUCAGUGAGCUGUCUCCUCCUCUGUGCACACUCAGUGAGCUGUCUCCUCCCCUGUGCGCACUCAGUGAGGUGA
ensembl:lncRNA